GCAUAUAUAAAAUCACAUAAUACAUUAAAACAAUAAAUAAAUGCGUUUUCGUUCGCUUCCACUUCAGGAAAUGAUUUUGUUCAAGAUUUUCAUGUGUAAUUUGUCAUAAGGAUCUUUGCUACGACUACAGUCUCCUUAUCUUGCAUCUUCAGUUCUAAGUUAUUUGAGAUACAGCAAUUUUUUAAAUGUGUGAUGGAAGUUCUAUCCUAACCUACAGUAUCCAUUCACUAGCAGUGAUCUGAACAUCACUUACUGCAUGUAUGACCUAGAAAAGUCAUCUUUAAGAAGCUGGUUUAUCCAACAUCCAACACCUGCACCUCCGAGAGCACUUCCCCAGAAAGAAUUACUAAAUGGCCUCACUCUGUCAUCCAGGCUGGAGUGCCGUGGCGUCAUCUUGGCUCACUGCAAUCUCUGCCUCUCAGGUUCAAGCGAUUCUCACACCUCAGCCUCCCAAGUAGCUGGGAUUACAGGCAUAUACCACCACGUAUGGCUAACUUUUGUAUUUUUAGUAGAGACGAGUUUUCACCAUGUUGGCCAGGCUGGUCUCAAACUUCCGGCCUCAAAUAAUCCAUCCACUUCAGCCUCCCACAGUGCUGGGAUUACAGAUGUGAGCAACCGUGCCCAGCCCCUAAGUAAAUUCUUAUACUGACAACUGGAUAAUAUGAUUCAGAAUGUAAUCAAAAUAUUAGUGCAACUGAUGCAAAUGAAAUAAAUGUCCAAGAAGUCAGUGA